rnacentral:rRNA from 1 species
UACGGGGGGAGCAAGCGUUGUUCGGAUUUACUGGGCGUAAAGGGCGCGUAGGCGGUCAGCACAAGUCAGUUGUGAAAUCUCCGGGCUUAACUCGGAAAGGUCAACUGAUACUGUGCGACUAGAGUGCAGAAGGGGCAACUGGAAUUCUCGGUGUAGCGGUGAAAUGCGUAGAUAUCGAGAGGAACACCUGCGGCGAAGGCGGGUGGCUGGGCUGACACUGACGCUGAUGCGCGAAAGCCAGGGGAGCGAACGGG